rnacentral:rRNA from 1 species
AGUGAACGCUGGCGGCGUGCUUAACACAUGCAAGUCGAACGAGAACGGAUUAUAGCUUGCUAUAAUUGUCAGCUAAGUGGCGCACGGGUGAGUAAUGUAUAGGUAAUAUGCCUCUUACUAAGGGAUAACAAAUGGAAACGUUUGCUAAUACCUUAUACUCCUUAUUAACAGAAGUUAAUAAGGGAAAGAUUUAUUGGUAAGAGAUUAGCCUGUAUUGUAUCAGUUAGUUGGUGGGGUAAUGGCUUACCAAGACUAUGACACAUAACUGGUUUGAGAGGAUGAUCAGUCACACUGGAAAUGAGACACCGUCCAGACUCCUACGGGAGGCAGCAGUGGGGAAUAUUGCACAAUGGACGAAAGUCUGAUGCAGCAACGCCGCGUGGAGGAUGACACAUUUCGGUGCGUAAACUCCUUUUAUAUGAGAAGAUAAUGACGGUAUUAUAUGAAUAAGCACCGGCUAACUCCGUGCCAGCAGCCGCGGUAA